CGUAGGUGACGAGCGUUAUCCGGAAUUACUGGGCGUAAAGCGCACGCAAGCGGUCUGAGAAGUCUGGCGUGAAAUCCCCUGGCUUAACCAGGGGCAGUCGCUGGAAACGGUCAGGCUUGAGGCGAUGAGAGGGGUGCAGAAUUCCCGGUGUAGUGGUGGAAUGCGUAGAGAUCGGGAGGAAUACCAGUGGCGAAAGCGGCACCCUGGCGUCGUACUGACGCACAUGUGCGAAAGCGUGGGGAGCGAACGGGAUUAGAUACCCCGGUAGUCCACGCGGUAAACGAUGAACACUAGGUGUGGGGGGAGUCCAUCCGUCCGUGCCAAAGCCAACGCGUUAAGUGUUCCGCCUGGGAAGUACGGCCGCAAGGCUA
rnacentral:rRNA from 1 species